UGAACAAGCAGCGGGCGGAAGCCGGCCGCGGCGCUGCUGACGUCGCCUUCGUUCCGUUCGAAGCGCACCUGCUCGCC
rnacentral:tRNA from 1 species